UACGAAGGGGGCUAGCGUUGCUCGGAAUCACUGGGCGUAAAGCGCACGUAGGCGGAUCUUUAAGUCAGGGGUGAAAUCCUGGGGCUCAACCUCAGAAUUGCCUCCGAUACUGGCAGUCUCGAGUGCGGGAGAGGUGAGUGGAAUUCCCAGUGUAGAGGUGAAAUUCGUAGAUAUUGGGAAGAACACCAGUGGCGAAGGCGGCUCACUGGCCCGUAACUGACGCUGAGGUGCGAAAGCGUGGGGAGCAAACAGG
rnacentral:rRNA from 1 species